GACGUAGGGGGCAAGCGUUGUUCGGAAUUAUUGGGCGUAAAGCGCUCGUAGGCGGGACUGGAAGUCCGUGUUGAAAGACCUCGGCUCAACUGGAGGGACCGGCUCGGAUACUCUAGUUCUUGAGGCAAUCAGAGGGUGAUGGAAUUCCUGGUGUAGCGGUGAAAUGCGCAGAUAUCAGGAGGAACACCGAUGGCGAAGGCAGGUCUCUGGGCCGAUACUGACGCUGAGGAGCGAAAGCGUGGGGAGCGAACAGG
rnacentral:rRNA from 1 species